CUGUCCUUUUCCUUUGAGCGGGGGGAAAAAAGAUGCUGAGAAUGUGUGUCUCCGCUGUCCACAUCCGUUGUGGCUGACAGGCCGUGAGCAUGGACAGGGCAGACAGCCAGGCAGCAUGUCAGCUGAGCCACCAGAAGACCAGAGAGAGGAGUGAGUAUUCAUCCCCCUCUCCCCAUCCAUCUCUCCAUCUCUUUCUCAGAGAAGAUUGGAAUCUCAAGUACAAGGCAGCACUAUUCAACAUACACUUAAGCUGUAACUUGGAACGGAAUUCCCUUUUAUUCACUUGGUUCUGUUCAUUACAAGACUACCUGGUCCUGGCAGCCCUGGGCUCCCUUGCAUGCAGGCGGAGUGUCGCUGAUUAAAUUACACAGUGCAGCGGGCAGCCAGCCGCACUCUCUUAACUCAACGCUGAUGUCUGAACGCUCCAGCUGGGCUCCUGGGCGCUUGAUGUAGUCACGGAUAAGUCAGCGGAUUACCAUAUUUCAGACAAACCAAUGGCUUUGUAGAGCAGGCUUAGUCCUAAAGCCCCUCGGUACAGCCCACAAAUCCAACACAAAAGG